GUGAGCCAGUACAGGAUGGACCCGCGUCUGAUUAGCUAGUUGGUAAGGUAACGGCUUACCAAGGCGACGAUCAGUAGCCGACCUGAGAGGGUGAUCGGCCACAUUGGAACUGAGACACGGUCCAAACUCCUACGGGAGGCAGCAGUGGGGAAUAUUGCACAAUGGGCGAAAGCCUGAUGCAGCAACGCCGCGUGAGGGAUGAAGGCCUUCGGGUCGUAAAACGCUGUCCUCAAGGAAGAUAAUGACGGUACUUGAGGAGGAAGCCCCGGCUAACUACGUGCCAGCAGCCGCGGUAAUACGGAGGGGGCUAGCGUUAUCCGGAUU
rnacentral:rRNA from 1 species